rnacentral:tRNA from 1 species
GCUGGCGUAGCUCAGUGUGGUAGAGCAGCUGAUUUGUAAUCAGCCGGUCGGGGGUUCGACUCCCUCCGCCAGCUCCA